GAUGAACGCUAGCGGCAGGCUUAAUACAUGCAAGUCGAGGGGCAGCGGGAGUAGCAAUACUUGCCGGCGACCGGCGCACGGGUGCGUAACACGUAUGUAAUCUGCCCAUCACAGGAGGAUAGCCCGGAGAAAUUCGGAUUAAUACUCCAUAAUAAAUUGAGAGGCAUCACUUGAUUUUGAAAGUUCCGACGGUGAUGGAUGAACAUGCGACUGAUUAGUUAGUUGGUGAGGUAACGGCUCACCAAGACCACGAUCAGUAGGGGUACUGAGAGGUUAAACCCCCACACUGGUACUGAGACACGGACCAGACUCCUACGGGAGGCAGCAGUAAGGAAUAUUGGACAAUGGCCGCAAGGCUGAUCCAGCCAUGCCGCAUGCAGGAAGACGGACCUAUGGUUUGUAAACUGCUUUUGAACUAGAGAAAACCCCUUUACGUGUAAAGGGCUGAUAGUAUAGUUAGAAUAAGCAUCGGCUAACUUCGUGCCAGCCGCCGCUGUAAAAC
rnacentral:rRNA from 1 species